rnacentral:rRNA from 1 species
GACGAACGCUGGCGGCGUGCUUAACACAUGCAAGUCGAACGGAAAGGCCCUGCUUUUGUGGGGUGCUCGAGUGGCGAACGGGUGAGUAACACGUGAGUAACCUGCCCUUGACUUUGGGAUAACUUCAGGAAACUGGGGCUAAUACCGGAUAGGAGCUCCUGCUGCAUGGUGGGGGUUGGAAAGUUUCGGCGGUUGGGGAUGGACUCGCGGCUUAUCAGCUUGUUGGUGGGGUAGUGGCUUACCAAGGCUUUGACGGGUAGCCGGCCUGAGAGGGUGACCGGCCACAUUGGGACUGAGAUACGGCCCAGACUCCUACGGGGGGCAGCAGUGGGGGAUAUUGCACAAUGGGCGGAAGCCUGAUGCAGCCACGCCGCGUGCGGGAUGACGGCCUUCGGGUUGUAAACCGCUUUCGCCUGUGACGAAGCGUGAGUGACGGUAAUGGGUAAAGAAGCACCGGCUAACUACGUG